rnacentral:tRNA from 2 species
GGGCGAGUGGCGGAAUGGUAGACGCGCUAGAUUUAGGAUCUUGUGUAGCAGUACGUGGAGGUUCAAGUCCUCUCUCGCCCACCA